rnacentral:rRNA from 1 species
GACGAACGCUGGCGGCGUGCUUAACACAUGCAAGUCGAACGGAAAGGCCCCUUCGUGGGUACUCGAGUGGCUAACGGUUGAGUAACACGUGAUUAACCUGCCCUUGACUUCGGGAUAACUUCUGGAAACUUGUGCUAAUACCGGAUAGGAAUCCUUGCUGCAUUGUGUGGGUUGGAAAUCUUUAGAGGUUUUGGAUGGACUCGCUGCUUAUCAGCUUGUUGGUGGGGUAGUGGCUUACCAAGGCUUUGACGGGUAGCCGGACUGAGAGGGAGACCGGCCACAGUGGGACUGAGAUACGGCCCAGACUCAUACGGGAGGCAGAAGUGGGGAAUAUUGCACAAUGGGAGGAAGCCUGAUGCAGAAACGCCGAGUGCGUGAGGACGGACUUGGCGUUGGAAACCGCUUUCAGCAGGGGCGAAGAUUGUGAUGACGGUACCUGCAGAAGAAGCACCGGCUAACUUCGUG